UAUCAUAUGAAUCUUAGAACAAAGUUAAAAACAACCACCAAAAUAGAUUUCCAAAAACAGUAAGUUUUCCAAUUCUAACCCAGCUUACUCAUUUUAUAAACUAUACACAAAUAAUAGCUACAAAAUAAUGUGAUAUAGAUCCUUAUCAAGCGCUUUUGUUUGGAGGCCUUGUGACUAGCUUCCUCUAAGGCCAUUUUAAUUGACUUUUGCAUCUCUAACUGCCUACUUGCCUACAAAACAAAGACAUCAUUUAGGUUUUUUCGUUUAAUGAGAAGGGCAUUCUUGUCUUUUGCACAUGAAAUGGUGGGGGUGGGUGUUACCUCGAUUUUUGCUUGAUAAGAUUAUAUUAAGUUUUAUGCUAACCCAGAGACAAGAAACAUGCAGUGCUUUGCACGAGAGCAUGUGAAAAGAGUGUUAGACUUGGAGAAAAGGAGGAAAAAGCUUGAUUCACUGAGUAAAGAGCUUAACAAGAGGGAAGCUCUAACAGAAAGGGAGAAACAAAAGCCAAAGCCUUCACUGAUAUGGUCUAAAAGUAGAAAAUCUCAAUUUAUCAAGAAAACCUAAUUGUUCAUAUUAUUAUAUUUUGCUACAAUCUUGAGCAUAAAAAGGAUAUUCAUAUACAUAAGUGUAAAAUAACAGAAUCAUAAUACCUACCUUAAUGUCUGGUGGGAAACUGGCCACAAGAUCUAAAUCCUCAAUAAUAUCCUCAAGAUGUUUGCCUAUAAAUCCAAGACACAAGCUUACAAGAGCAGGAGGUUUUCUCUUCUCCAAAGGCGACCCUGUUACACAAACAAAACAAUUAUAAGCAAGCUGAUAGCAGCCCAAUAAAAUACACAUAUUCAAGUUCAAACUAAACCAAAAAAAACUGAAAUCCGUCAGCAACAAUCAGAAACUUCUCUUCAAAAUUUAUCUCAGCCUACUAAAUUGCGAAAUAUGAUAUUCAUCGUUUCCAUCGAAACUCGAAAGAUAAAGGAAACACAUUCAUACAUAACACGAACAUUUGGAUAUGAAUCUACAUACUCCCUUGCCCUUAUGUUCAGCUAGUGUGUUACCCUUAUAAAGAAAUUACAAGAUUUCAAGAUAACUAGCCUAAUAGAAAUUCAUGUUCACUACAGCUCUUAUGUGUAUAAACAAUUAGAAAACGAGAAUUAGUAUAUAGAAACUCAUAGGAAGAUAGCAGCAAAGGAUUAUAAUUCUUGGCCAACUUGUUAGGGUUCCUGGAAUUGAAAGUCAAAUCAAUAUUUUGAAAGGAUCUCUGUAUGGCUUCCAAACCCUUUCCUUUAUCCAUCAAAUGAUGCAAGGAAGGAGAAAUGGCAUGUUGGGAUCAUGCGAGUAUGGAGUACCUGUUUAGCGUCGAGUUUGACUCCGAGUGUAGAACAGAGGUGCGUCAAUGGGAGGGUGUGGAGGACGAUGGACCGACGACGAUGGACCGCCGACCUAUAAAAAGAAGUUGAUUGUCACUCAAUCGAUUCACUUAUCUGAUCAUGCGAGUAUGGAGUACCUGCUUGGCUUCGAGUUUGACUUCGAGUGGAGAGCAGAGGUGCGUCAAUGGGAGGGCGUGGAGCGACAAUAGACCGGCGACGACGGUCCGGCGACGAUGGGUCGGCGGCGAUCGGGCGAUGGACUGGAGAUGUGUAUCGAUUCAGGGCAAAAGAGAUGUGUUGAGUUAAUUUAGGGCACA
rnacentral:lncRNA from 1 species